rnacentral:lncRNA from 1 species
UUGAAGAUUCGUUUCCUACUAUGGAUGAUGUUUGAAUAACGCGCACAAUAUAACUAAAAAAGGGCAGUUUGUAACAUUUUUUCAGCCAAUAAGCGCAUAAUAGCAUGUAAGGCAUGUGAAAUGUGCCCGUUGACUCCUUUCGAGAAAGAAAAAGCUGCUACUAUUCUGAGGUAAGUAUAUCGUUUCUCGAAUGCGGGCAAACAACAAAUGAUGGCCCAGACAAAAACCUUAGGAAAAAAUACCCGGGACAAUUUCAGUGAAUUUUUAGAAAAGAUGCAGGAAAAAAAAAACGAGGAAGUACAUAAAUUCUUAUUAAGUGUGAUUGGAACGGAGGGAACUGAGGCGAAACAGAGAGGGGCCGAUUCACAACAAAAUCUUGCAACGAAACUCGAAGACGCUCUCCGGAAGAGUGAUGUCGUUGCGGUCUGGCGACUCAUAGCUGAUGUAGAGGAAAGCGAAAUUACGACAACAGCGAAAGAUACUACAGAAGCAAGAAAAGAAAUCAAGACACUUGCUGCCUUACAGGUUGCGAAAAGAGUGAAAAGGAAAGAAGAUGAGGGACUGUUUACGAUCCUUAGGGGCUUGUAGAGCUUGAUUCUCCCUUUUCAUUACAAUGAUAAAGGCAAAGAGACGGAAACGGGAGGCGAAAAUGUCCAGGAGAAAGCUUGGAUCAACAUUCUGACCAACUCUUUGUACAUCAGUCUCGAAUGGCUACGCAAACAGUCAUCGGCUGAGAAUGAAACGGAGACCACCGAUAUCAUUAGGGCUGCCCUACAAGAUGACUACCUCUUGGAAAAAAUUUCUUUAAAAGAAACGUCACCACGACCGGGAUGAGUAUAGGAAGAGAGCAAUGGAAUGUGAGGAAUUUUCCACUGACAUCGUAGAGCAAAUAAGUGCCUCUGAUUCAGGAAAACUUCAUAAAAUUAUGGAAAUUAAGGGAGUCGGCUCCUUGCUGAAUAGAAAUCACAAUAAUUGCAAUGAGAGUCUGAGUCUUCUCAAGAUGGCCGCUGAUAAACAACGCAAAAGUUUGCAACGAGCCCCAAAUGUCAGCUCAUUCUCGACGAGGUCAUUUACCGUGAGUGGCCCCCCAUGUGGCAGGAUACAGGGCCGACCCUGAAGGCCCUACGGACGGUUCUUCUUUCGCUAUAUUUUCAGCAUAUUUUUUGCUGUUUUCGUCUACUCCACUAUGCACCUCAUACUGAGAGGCUGUUACUGCUGUAAGUUAGAUGAAAAAGGGAGAUGCUGGAAAUUUAGGGAGCUUUUGGAGCCUCUCUACUCCAAGUUCAUCAAUCAAACCGUGUCCUACUUUAUUUUUUCUCAUCUUGGUCUUCUGGUCCACAUUUAUAACUAGAUUUGACGAAAAUAGGACAGGCUUGAUAUCUGAAUUGCGCGUUAUGUAUUUUGUUCAAGGCCUUUUGUUUCAAGAAGCCAUAGAGGUCUACAGGCAAGGUCCUUCAAUUUACUUUUCAAAAUGGUGGAACGUUGUAGACGCAUCGAUCGUUUUAACAUUCCUGCUGGCCUAUAUAAUUUCGUUUGGUGCGUGGGAAUUCUAUGGAGAGUGGAAACCAAGAGAGGCUGCGUUUAUCGUAGCUGAUUCCAUUUACGCCACGGCCGCUAUAUUGGCUUACUUCCACUUAGCACACAUCGAUCCCACAAGUCAAUUCAGUGUUGGGUCCUUUGCAGCUGUCUCUUUAGAAAAUGAUCAAGGAUUUUCUCAAGUUUCUUGCUAUUUUUUCUUCACACCCUCCAAGUGGAGAGUUUGUUGUUUUCUUUCCUUCAAAAAACUUUCGCUGUACGUGGAAUGAAACGGAACGUUUACAAACAGUAACCGUCAACUGAAAAACGGUUGUUACUAACUUUUCAGAACAACUCUAUUUGCAUGCAAGUCUGUCUCCUAUUCUGUGAAAAUAGAACUUGAAAUAACUUUCAAAGGCACACUUUCAUCACAUUGGAACAAAUUCAGUCACGUCACGCAUCUGAGGAAUUCAACUUGGUAAUAUUCUAAAGAGAUACCCCCAGUUUUCAAAUAUUGUAUGAAAAAGACCGCGCGCUGGCGAGAAUAUUUGAUGAUUUGAAAACCUUUUCCAGUUUUAGAUCUUAUGACUGUAUUGUAAAAUACUAAUUUUCAACCGUAAGGAAAAUUAAAGUUUGUGUUUGGUGUCAACAGAGAUCAAGAGCCUCACAUGUUAGUUUCUGGGCAGCAGUUACAAUGAUAUGGACUGAUAGAUCACAAACAGAAUAGGAAUCAGAUAUUUGCUGUAAAGUUGUUAGCCAUUUUCUUUUACCAAAUAUUCUCUUAUACCUUGUAAGAAUAUCAUAGCACGAUAGAAUGAUAUCAGAUUUUUUCCGUCGCUAAAUUUUCGGUAUUUUACUAACUGGGGAAAUUACUUCCCAAACUGCAAGUAAUUACAAAGUUUUAUCACAAUAUUUUUAAAAUUCUAAAAUAAAUAGAAUUUAUUCACCGGCCGG